rnacentral:rRNA from 1 species
GACGAACGCUGGCGGCGUGCCUAAUACAUGCAAGUUGAGCGCUGAAGGUUGGUACUUGUACCAACUGGAUGAGCAGCGAACGGGUGAGUAACGCGUGGGGAAUCUGCCUUUGAGCGGGGGACAACAUUUGGAAACGAAUGCUAAUACCGCAUAAAAACUUUAAACACAAGUUUUAAGUUUGAAAGAUGCAAUUGCAUCACUCAAAGAUGAUCCCGCGUUGUAUUAGCUAGUUGGUGAGGUAAAGGCUCACCAAGGCGAUGAUACAUAGCCGACCUGAGAGGGUGAUCGGCCACAUUGGGACUGAGACACGGCCCAAACUCCUACGGGAGGCAGCAAUAGGGAAUCUUCGGCAAUGGACGAAAGUCUGACCGAGCAACGCCGCGUGAGUGAAGAAGGUUUUCGGAUCGUAAAACUCGGUUGGUAGAGAAGAACGUUGGUGAGAGUGGAAAGCUCAUCAAGUGACGGUAACUACCCAGAAAGGGACGGCUAACUACGUG